AUUGAACGCUGGCGGCAUGCCUUACACAUGCAAGUCGAACGGUAACAGGUCUUCGGAUGCUGACGAGUGGCGAACGGGUGAGUAAUACAUCGGAACGUGCCUAGUAGUGGGGGAUAACUACUCGAAAGAGUGGCUAAUACCGCAUGAGAUCUACGGAUGAAACCAGGGGAUCGCAAGACCUUGUGCUACUCGCGCGGCCGAUGUCAGAUUAGGUAGUUGGUGGGAUAAAAGCUUACCAAGCCGACGAUCUGUAGCUGGUCUGAGAGGACGAUCAGCCACACUGGGACUGAGACACGGCCCAGACUCCUACGGGAGGCAGCAGUGGGUAAUUUUGGACAAUGGGCGAAAGCCUGAUCCAGCAAUGCCGCGUGCAGGAUGAAGGCCUUCGGGUUGUAAACUGCUUUUGUACGGAACGAAAAGCCCCGGGUUAAUACCCUGGGGUCAUGACGGUACCGUAAGAAUAAGCACCGGCUAACUACGUGCCAGCCGCCGCCGUAA
rnacentral:rRNA from 1 species